CGGGUAUAGUUUAGUGGUAGAAUGUGGUGCUUCCGACCCCAAGGCGAGGGUUCGAUUCCCUUUACCC
rnacentral:tRNA from 1 species